UGGAGAAAAGCAGGGGAUCGUAAGACCUUGCGCUUUUGGAGUGGCCGAUGCCUGAUUAGCUAGUUGGUGGGGUAAAGGCCUACCAAGGCGACGAUCAGUAGUUGGUCUGAGAGGACGACCAGCCACACUGGGACUGAGACACGGCCCAGACUCCUACGGGAGGCAGCAGUGGGGAACUUUGGACAAUGGGCGAAAGCCUGAUCCAGCAAUGCCGCGUGAGUGAAGAAGGCCUUCGGGUUGUAAAGCUCUUUCAGUCGAGAAGAAAAGAUUGUGAUGAAUAAUCACAGUUCAUGACGGUAUCGACAGAAGAAGCACCGGCUAACUACGUGCCAGCAGCCGCGGUAAUACGUAGGGUGCAAGCGUUAAUCGGAAUUACUGGGCGUAAAGGGUGCGCAGGCGGUUUUGUAAGUCAGAUGUGA
rnacentral:rRNA from 1 species